rnacentral:rRNA from 1 species
AACGAACGCUGGCGGCAUGCCUAACACAUGCAAGUCGAACGAAGGCUUCGGCCUUAGUGGCGCACGGGUGCGUAACGCGUGGGAAUCUGCCCCUCGGUUCGGAAUAACAGUUAGAAAUGACUGCUAAUACCGGAUGAUGACUUCGGUCCAAAGAUUUAUCGCCGAGGGAUGAGCCCGCGUAAGAUUAGGUAGUUGGUGGGGUAAAGGCCUACCAAGCCGACGAUCUUUAGCUGGUCUGAGAGGAUGAUCAGCCACACUGGGACUGAGACACGGCCCAGACUCCUACGGGAGGCAGCAGUGGGGAAUAUUGGACAAUGGGCGAAAGCCUGAUCCAGCAAUGCCGCGUGAGUGAUGAAGGCCUUAGGGUUGUAAAGCUCUCUUACCAGGGAUGAUAAUGACAGUACCUGGAGAAUAAGCUCCGGCUAACUCCGUGCCAGCCGCCGCGGUAAAAC